AACUGGUACACUGACUCAAUGACAAAUGCUCGUUUCAUAAUUAGGGUGGAGCAUGAAAGCAACUAUAAAGGUUGCCUCCAUCUGAGACUCUCACUUCUGCUGCAUACCUUUGAAAGCUCUGGAUUUUGAGUGAGUUAUACUUCAAGACAACAUCUGAGAAACAUGGAACAUUUACUCAAUGAUAACCUUCUGAAGUAUUUUACUGAGUAUGCUUUACGUGAAGGUAGCACCUCUGCACUGUCCAUUGGUGGGCUGAAAAGUCUGAUUCAGAAUCAAUUUGCACAGUACCUGAAGGAUACAUUCUCACUUGAUAACAUAAUUAAAUCGAUGGACAAAAAUAAUGAUGGAAGCGUGACCUUUGAUGAGUUUGUAAUGAUUGUAAAACAGAUAAUUGGACAGUGAAGCAUCUGCAAGAAUGACUAUCACUGCUUUGAAGGACAAGACCCUGGCAUUCAUGUACAUUAUACGUACGCUUAUACCGAUAGAUUUGUUACGAAUUUAAAACAUACAGAAUAAAAAUGUGACAUAUAACAAAGGAUG